rnacentral:rRNA from 1 species
AUUGAACGCUGGCGGCAGGCCUAACACAUGCAAGUCGAGCGGAGCGGCGUACGGGUGAGUAAUGCCUAGGAAUCUGCCUGGCAGGGGGGGAUAGCGUCCGGAAACGGGCGCUAAUCCCGCAUACUAUCAGAUGAGCCUAGGUCGGAUUGGCUAGUUGGGGGGGUAAAGGCCUACCAAGGCGACGAUCCGUAACUGGUCUGAGAGGAUGAUCAGUCAAACUGGAACUGAGACACGGUCCAGACUCCUACGGGAGGCAGCAGUGGGGAAUAUUGCACAAUGGGCGAAAGCCUGAUGCAGCCAUGCCGCGUGUGUGAAGAAGGUCUUCGGAUUGUAAAGCACUUUAAGUUGGGAGGCGUUACCAGCAGAAUAAGCACCGGCUAACUUCGUGCCAGCAGCCGCGGUAAUUC